GACGUAGGUGGCGAACGUUAUCCGGAAUUAUUGGGCGUAAAGGGUGCGUAGGCGGCAUAAUAAGUUAUUGGUGGGAAAUCGAGGCUCAACCUCGUGGAAACUGAUAAUACUGUUUUGCUUGAGUACAGGAGAGGUUAACGGAACUCCAUGUGGAGCGGUAAAAUGCGCAGAUAUCAGGAGGAACACCAAUGGCGAAGGCAGCUCGCUGGGACGGUACUGACGCUGAGACGCGAAAGCGUGGGGAGCAAACAGG
rnacentral:rRNA from 1 species